GAUGAACGCUGGCGGCGUGCCUAACACAUGCAAGUCGAACGGGUUUAUACGGACGGCGGCUUCGGCCAAAGACUGUAAAAAACUAGUGGCGGACGGGUGAGUAACGCGUGGAUAAUCUGCCCUCUGGCGGGGAAUAACUGUGAGAAAUCACAGCUAAUACCGCAUAAGCCUCCGGUAUGGCAUCAUACUGAAGGAAAAGAUUUAUCACCAGAGGAGGAGUCCGCGUCUGAUUAGCUAGUUGGUGGGGUAAAGGCUUACCAAGGCGAUGAUCAGUAGCCGGCAUGAGAGGGUGAACGGCCACAUUGGGACUGAGACACGGCCCAAACUCCUACGGGAGGCAGCAGUGGGGAAUAUUGCACAAUGGGGGAAACCCUGAUGCAGCGACGCCGCGUGAGGGAAGAAGGUUUUCGGAUUGUAAACCUCUGUCUUUGGGGAAGAGUAGAAGACGGUACCCAAGGAGGAAGCCACGGCUAACUACGUGCCAGCCGCCGCCGUAAUAC
rnacentral:rRNA from 1 species